CGUGAGCAACCUGCCUAUCACAGGGGGAUAACAGUUGGAAACGACUGCUAAUACCGCAUAAGACCACAAGGUCGCAUGAUCAAGGGGUCAAAGGAGCAAUCCGGUGAUAGAGGGGCUUGCGUCUCAUUAGCUAGUUGGUGAGGGUAACGGCCCACCAAGGCGACGAUGAGUAGCCGAUCUGAGAGGAUGAACGGCCACACUGGAACUGAGAUACGGUCCAGACUCCUACGGGAGGCAGCAG
rnacentral:rRNA from 1 species